rnacentral:rRNA from 1 species
UAAGGAAUAUUGGACAAUGGUCGCAAGACUGAUCCAGCCAUGCCGCGUGCAGGAUGAACGAUCUAUGAUCUGUAAACUGCUUUUGUUCGGGAAUAAACCCCUUCACGUGUGGAGGGCUGAAUGUACCGAAAGAAUAAGGGUCGGCUAACUUCGUGCCAGCAGCCGCGGUAAGACGAAGGACCCAAGCGUUAUCCGGAUUUAUUGGGUUUAAAGGGUGCGUAGGCGGGUUGUUAAGUCAGUGGUGAAAGCCUACAGCUUAACUGUAGAAUUGCCAUUGAUACUGACGAUCUUGAGGAUAGUUGAGGUGGGCGGAAUGUAUCAUGUAGCGGUGAAAUGCUUAGAGAUGAUACAGAACACCGAUUGCGAAGGCAGCUCACUAAGCUAUUUCUGACGCUGAGGC